AAGCUAUACGCUUGUAGACACACUUUCGAAUCCGUUCCUGGAACCAACCAGUACUGAGCAAUGAGUGUAAAGUUUCUUGCUCGACGAAACAACGACUUGCCCCUGACGGGGUUUGAACCCAUUAGAUAACUAGUCCGACGCGUUUAACCACUCUGCCAUGCCGCCACUCAAUGAGGAAAUGGGGAAAUUAAUGGAUAACCUUUUCUUAUAUUCAAAUUUUUCUUACAAUAUAAUUAUGCUAGUAUUAUUGUAUGAUCAUAUAUCAUGCAUGUGCAAUAUAAUAUCAUGUAUAAGACCAUAAAGAAGGAACAUGAUUAUAAAUGGCUUAUUCCGUUAACAAUUUAAACCUGAAUAAUAUGGGAGAGAAACAUAUGUUUAUUCGCACUUCAUAAACUCUCAUAUUUUUAUGAUACCAUUGUUCUUGAGUGAUAAAAUUUCUGCUGAAAUGUAAAUUGAAUACAUGGAUUUCCUUUAUAGAGAUGUGUUGCACUUUAUUAUUGCUUAUACGGUGCACGCAAAAUACGUCACCGGGGGAACAACAGAAGGUUACGGUGAUAGAAGCGAUCUGGACCCUGACAACGAUCCCGGAAACAUUAUUUUUUCUUUAGUUGUUCUGAUAAUACUUUUGUCGUGUAUGUUUCUGAUUGCUGUUCAGAUACGACUUUCGGCGAAUGAUUAACUACCAACAAUGACAUAUGAUUAACUACCAACAAUGACGUAUACUUGACUACCAACAAUGACAGUUGAUUGACUACCAGCAAUGACAUAUGAUUAACUACCAACAACGACAUAUGAUUGUCUACCAAGAAUGCCAUAUGAUCGACUACAGACAAUGACAUAUGAUUGACUACCAGCAAUAACAUAUGAUAAACUACCAACAAUGACAUGAUAGAAAUAUUUCUAGAUUCAUGGUGGAAUCAUUUUCAUAAAAUGGUGUAACAUACUUAAAGUCUCUAUGAUGAGCAACAGGAAUUGCUUGGUCAAUGUAUAGAUUAUCAGCAGAAAUGGUGACAUGUUUUUGCAUUCCUGUAGCUGUUGUUGGCGAUAACAAAUUAUGCCAUUGAAACGAAAUGUGAUAAUUAAUAUUUUUAUCAACGAAUAUUUGAAAACAAGACACUGCUUGUAGUAUCAAAUUUAAAGCGCUGGUCUUAGAGUUACUUGGAAGACAUAACAAAAACCUUGUUACUGUGAAAGAAACCGGACGGUGCUGGGGUGUGUGAAAUAAGUUGUGUUUAACUCUGCCGUCCCUGAGCAUGCUGAACCAAACCGGACCUGCAACAUUAUUAAAAUUUUGAGCUGCAUUGGACUACUAGUUCAUUUCAUGCUUUUUUUUUACUGUUUUAGCUGUACAUAUUUUAUAUAUUGAUGUUAAAAUAAAUGAAUAAAAUGUA